UACGGGAGGCAGCAGUGGGGAAUUUUGGACAAUGGGGGCAAGCCUGAUCCAGCCAUUCCGCGUGCAGGAUGAAGGCCCUCGGGUUGUAAACCGCUUUUGUCCGGAAAGAAAUGGCUCUGGUUAAUACCCGGGGCUCAUGACGGUACCGUAAGAAUAAGCACCGGCUAACUACGUGCCAGCAGCCGCGGUAAUACGUAGGGUGCAAGCGUUAAUCGGAAUUACUGGGCGUAAAGCGUGCGCAGGCGGUUAUGUAAGACAGAGGUGAAAUCCCCGGGCUCAACCUGGGAACUGCCUUUGUGACUGCAUGGCUAGAGUGCGGCAGAGGGGGGUGGAAUUCCGCGUGUAGCAGUGAAAUGCGUAGAUAUGCGGAGGAACACCGAUGGCGAAGGCAACCCCCUGGGCCUACACUGACGCUCAUGCACGAAAGCGUGGGGAGCAAACAGGAUUAGAUCCCCUGGUAGUCCACGCCCUAAACGAUGUCAACUGGUUGUUGGGUCUUCACUGACUCAGUAACGCAGCUAACGCGUG
rnacentral:rRNA from 1 species